UAUAUUAUGGUGUAAGGCACUUAGGGUUUUGAUCUCUAUGGUAAUAGAUUAAUCUAUUUAAUAUAU
rnacentral:tRNA from 1 species